GUCCACGCCGUAAACGAUGUCAACUAGCCGUUGGAAUCCUUGAGAUUUUAGUGGCGCAGCUAAUGCAUUAAGUUGACCGCCUGGGGAGUACGGCCGCAAGGUUAAACUCAAAUGAAUUGACGGGGCCCGCACAAGCGGUGGAGCAUGUGGUUUAAUUCGAAGCAACGCGAAGAACCUUACCAGGCCUUGACAUCCAAUGAACUUUCCAGAGAUGGAUUGGUGCCUUCGGGAACAUUGAGACAGGUGCUGCAUGGCUGUCGU
rnacentral:rRNA from 1 species